rnacentral:rRNA from 1 species
GAUGAACGCUGGCGGCGUGCCUAAUACAUGCAAGUCGAGCGAACAGACGAGGAGCUUGCUUCUCUGACGUUAGCGGCGGACGGGUGAGUAACACGUGGAUAACCUACCUAUAAGACUGGGAUAACUUCGGGAAACCGGAGCUAAUACCGGAUAAUAUAUUGAACCGCAUGGUUCAAUAGUGAAAGACGGUUUUGCUGUCACUUAUAGAUGGAUCCGCGCCGCAUUAGCUAGUUGGUAAGGUAACGGCUUACCAAGGCAACGAUGCGUAGCCGACCUGAGAGGGUGAUCGGCCACACUGGAACUGAGACACGGUCCAAACUCCUACGGGAGGCAGCAGUAGGGAAUCUUCCGCAAUGGGCGAAAGCCUGACGGAGCAACGCCGCGUGAGUGAUGAAGGUCUUCGGAUCGUAAAACUCUGUUAUUAGGGAAGAACAAAUGUGUAAGUAACUAUGCACGUCUUGACGGUACCUAAUCAGAAAGCCACGGCUAACUACGUG